rnacentral:tRNA from 1 species
ACCGGCUCAUAACCGGUCGGUCCGGGGUUCGAGUCCCUGUUGGCGCACCA